rnacentral:tRNA from 1 species
GGGGUUGUGGCUCAGUGGUAGAGCACUUGCCUAGCAAGUGUGAGGCCCUGGGUUCGAUUCUCAGCACCA